GGGGGGGGGGGGGGGCGGGCGUAACACAUGGAAGGCGAGCGGAGGAAGGGAGCUUGCUCCGGGAUUCAGCGGCGGACGGGUGAGUAAUGCCUAGGAAUCUGCCUGGUAGUGGGGGAUAACGUCCGGAAACGGGCGCUACUACCGCAUACGUCCUGAGUGAGAAAGUGGGGGAUCUUCGGACCUCACGCUAUCAGAUGAGCCUAGUUCGGAUUAGCUAGUUGGUGGGGUAAAGGCCUACCAAGGCGACGAUCCGUAACUGGUCUGAGAGGAUGAUCAGUCAGACUGGAACUGAGACACGGUACAGACACCUACGGGAGGCAGCAGUGGGGAAUAUUGGACGAUGGGCGAAAGCCUGAUCCAGCCAUGCCGGGUGUGGGAAGAAGGUCUUAGGAUUGUAAAGCACUUUAAGUUGGGAGGAAGGGCAGUAAGUUAAUACCUUGCUGUUUUGACGUUACCAACAGAAUAAGCACCGGCUAACUUCGUG
rnacentral:rRNA from 1 species